CCCUUCUAGACUACAAGCUCCACGAGGGCAAAGAACUUUCCAUCUUCCUCACCAGACCUCCAGAAACUGCCAUGAUGCAUUUUACAUAGAAAACACUCAACUAAUAAGGGUUAAAAAACUGUCCUUUCUACAUAUUUGCCCCCCAAAUUCUACUUCUAGGAAUUUUUCCUGAGAAAAGAAAGAACAAAUGUGCUCUAAACUCUUCACAAAGACAGGGGAAUCAAGAGUUGAGCAUGAAAACACUCUCCGAAAUGGUCUACCCAUUGGUUGGAUUCCGUUCUUAAAUUCUUGUUCCUGAGAAUCAAGAGCGUAGCUGGUCAUUCGCCGAUCUUUGCGCCUAUGUCUGGAAGGCAGACUUUUCACUUUUGCACUCAAGAGUUGACAUCUCCAGUUUGAUCAGAGCACACUUUCUCUCAGAUCCUGCAUGAGAUCUCACCACAGAGCUCACCAGACAGCUGCUGCAGAGAGAUGAAAGCUAGUGGAGGAGACGAAACCUCCUGGAUCUUCCUGGCCCUUGUGCAAAUGGAAGUGAAUUUUCAUGUGAUAAUAAACGUGCGGGGCAGCUUCUGUAGAUCUCAUUCGCGGCACACUCUCCCCAUAAACUGCCAGAGAUGGAGCUGAGAGAGAACCCCCAGGACUGAGAAAUACAAAGGCCAGAAAACCCAGACAUGGUAAAAAGGAAAGAAGGAGGUGCAGGUGGCUCAUUGGUGUCGUGCACGUAUUAGCUAAUAGGCUAGAAAACGCAGAGCCAGUCAAUAACAAGAUGGUCAAAAUAGAAAUGAAGUCGGGAUCAAAUCCACCUCCCCCAACUCACCAUCCUUCUAUUGCCAAGUCAUGUUACAUUAUGGCUUUUGUCUGUGAACUACAAUGUGGAGGGCGGCAGUUGGCAUUGUUUUUAAAUUGUAAUUUUAUGGGAGAGCUGAUUAAUCGAAGUCACAGACCGCAUGAAAUGUUUGGCUUCGAUAUGAAUCAACUGCGUGGGGAUAGUUUUGGGGUAUCAGAACUGAUAACAAGUAAAAGCAGGAAACAAUACCUGUGACUAUUAAAAAGAAAAAAAAAAGGAAAAGGAAAAUUGCAACUUCAGGUGUGUACUUAAAGAGUUCUGACUCUGCUUAUUUGCAAUCUAGCUAAAUCUUGACUGGAAAUUUAAAGAAAUCUUGAUUGGGAAUAACCACUACUUAAAAUAUUAUAAUUCAUGUUAGCAUUCAACAAGAUAAAUUAUCUUAAUCUGUUCAGGAUCUCUUAAAAACCUCAAAAUAUACUGUUUGUAACCUCAUGAUUUCAAAAGGGUCAAACAUACACUGUCGAAGGAAGAGAGAUUAACAAACAAACCUGAAAUUUUUCAUUAUGUGAGAAAAGAAACUAGUUCUUUCCUGAAAGUUAAGGAUGGACAAUGUUUGUUUUACCCCAAUUAAUUACAGGGUCAGCAUCAUCUUCACUUAAUGACAGUAUUUAGCAAAAAUAAUCUUAAAAUAUUAACUUAAAAGUUACUUUCAAGAAUGUAUUGCUUAAUCUAUAAAAUCACAGACACUUAUUUCCAUAAAGCAUUUAGGUCACUAUGACCUAUUGUUUUAUUUGAGAUAUUAGGGUAAUUUAGAUUCCUUUAUACCUCGAUCCAGUAAAUAUGUUUAUAAAUAUUAUCUUUAUGUGAGUCCAGGGAGCUAGAACAUGAGUUCUUGCCAUGAAAAGGGGGCUGGAGCAAAACCAAUCUAAAUAAAUUGAGGAUGAAUGGUUCCACUUAUAUGGUUAUCAGUUGUCUUCUUUCCAAGUGAGAUCUAAAAGAAUAUCCUGUUUUACUUCAAUGUUUAUCCUCAAAUAGUUUUGAUUACUUUCCUUUUUCCAUUGCUACAUUCACACUUCUGAUUUCGAUAUUAUGCAAAAUAAAUAAUUUGCUUCCACAUCAUUGUUCAAUCUUAGAAUUGUGAAUGACCUACCUGGAUAAUGAGUGGUUUUU